UACAGAGGGGGCAAGCGUUGUCCGGAAUCAUUGGGCGUAAAGAGCGUGUAGGCGGCCCGGUAAGUCCGCUGUGAAAGUCCAGGGCUCAACCCUGGGAUGCCGGUGGAUACUGUCGGGCUCGAGUCCGGAAGAGGAGUGUGGAAUUCCUGGUGUAGCGGUGAAAUGCGCAGAUAUCGGGAGGAACACCGGUGGCGAAGGCGGUUCUCUGGGCCUUACCUGACGCUGAGGAGCGAAAGCGUGGGGAGCGAACAGG
rnacentral:rRNA from 1 species